rnacentral:rRNA from 1 species
GACGAACGCUGGCGGCGUGCCUAAUACAUGCAAGUCGAACGCAGUGGGGACGGGUGAGUAACACGUGGGUAACCUCCCAUCAGAGGGGAUAACACUUGGAAACAGGUGCUAAACCGCUACUGAUGGAUGGUCUCGCGGUGCAGUCGCUAGUUGGUGAGGUAACGGCUCACCAAGGCUACGAUGCAUAGCCGACCUGAGAGGAUGAUCAGCCACACUGGGACUGAGACACGGCCCAGACUCCUACGGGAGGCAGCAGUGGGGAAUCUUCGACAAUGGGCGAAAGUCUGACCGAGCAACGCCGCGUGUGUGAAGAAGGUUUGCGGGUCGUAAAGCACUGUUGUUAGGGAAGCGGUAUCUAACGAGAAAGCAACGGCUAACUACGUGCCAGCAGCCGCGGUAAUUC